UGAGGAAUUUUCCGCAAUGGGCGAAAGCCUGACGGAGCAAUGCCGCGUGGAGGAGGAAGGCCUGUGGGUCGUAAACUCCUUUUCUCAGAGAAGAAGUUCUGACGGUAUCUGAGGAAUAAGCAUCGGCUAACUCUGUGCCAGCAGCCGCGGUAAUACAGGGGAUGCAAGCGUUAUCCGGAAUUAUUGGGCGUAAAGCGUCCUGAGGUGGCUUACCCAGUCGACUGUGAAAGCUCAAGGCUUAACCUUGAAACGGCAGUCGAAACUUGUAAGCUUGAGUACGGUAGGGGCAGAGGGAAUUCCCGGAGGAGAGGUGAAAUUCGUAGAUAUCGGGAGGAAGGCCAAAGGCGAAAGCACUCUGCUGGGCCGAUUACUGACACUGACAGACGAAAGCUAGGGGAGCGAAAGGG
rnacentral:rRNA from 1 species